UGCGUACCUUUUGUAUAAUGGGUCAGCGACUUAUAUUCUGUAGCAAGGUUAACCGAAUAGGGGAGCCGAAGGGAAACCGAGUCUUAACUGGGCGUUAAGUUGCAGGGUAUAGACCCGAAACCCGGUGAUCUAGCCAUGGGCAGGUUGAAGGUUGGGUAACACUAACUGGAGGACCGAACCGACUAAUGUUGAAAAAUUAGCGGAUGACUUGUGGCUGGGGGUGAAAGGCCAAUCAAACCGGGAGAUAGCUGGUUCUCCCCGAAAGCUAUUUAGGUAGCGCCUCGUGAAUUCAUCUCCGGGGGUAGAGCACUGUUUCGGCAAGGGGGUCAUCCCGACUUACCAACCCGAUGCAAACUGCGAAUACCGGAGAAUGUUAUCACGGGAGACACACGGCGGGUGCUAACGUCCGUCGUGAAGAGGGAAACAACCCAGACCGCCAGCUAAGGUCCCAAAGUCAUGGUUAAGUGGGAAACGAUGUGGGAAGGCCCAGACAGCCAGGAUGUUGGCUUAGAAGCAGCCAUCAUUUAAAGAAAGCGUAAUAGCUCACUGGUCGAGUCGGCCUGCGCGGAAGAUGUAACGGGGCUAAACCA
rnacentral:rRNA from 1 species